AACGCACAUUGCGCCCUCUGGUAUUCCGGGGGGCAUGCCCGUUCGAGCGUCAUUACACCUCUCAAGCCUCGCUUGGUAUUGGGGGUCAGCAGCCUCGCCGCUCCCCUUGAAAUCUUCGGCCGAGUCCAUCCACUCUCCGGCGUUGUGCAAACAAAUUCGCCUGUCAAGAGUUGGGAGGGCUUCCGUCGCCGUUAAGCCUCUUUUUUCAAAGGUUGACCUCGGAUCGGGUAGGGAUACCCGCUGAACUUAA
rnacentral:misc_RNA from 1 species